UACGUAGGGGGCGAGCGUUGUCCGGAUUCAUUGGGCGUAAAGCGCGCGUAGGCGGCUUGGCAAGUCGGCCGUGAAAUCUCCAGGCUCAACUUGGAGGGGUCGGGCGAGACUGCUGGGCUCGAGGUGGGCAGAGGGCAGUGGAAUUCCGGGUGUAGUGGUGGAAUGCGUAGAGAUCCGGAGGAACACCAGUGGCGAAGGCGGCUGCCUGGGCCUGGCCUGACGCUGAGGCGCGAAAGCGUGGGGAGCGAUCCGG
rnacentral:rRNA from 1 species